AUUGAACGCUGGCGGCAUGCCUUACACAUGCAAGUCGAACGGCAGCACGGGAGCAAUCCUGGUGGCGAGUGGCGAACGGGUGAGUAAUGUAUCGGAACGUGCCCAGUCGUGGGGGAUAACGGAGCGAAAGCUACGCUAAUACCGCAGACGAUCUGUGGAUGAAAGCGGGGGACCGUAAGGCCUCGCGCGAUUGGAGCGGCCGAUGUCAGAUUAGGUAGUUGGUGGGGUAAAGGCCUACCAAGCCGACGAGCUGUAGCUGGUCUGAGAGGGCGACCAGCCACACUGGGACCGAGACACGGCCCAGACUCCUACGGGAGGCAGCAGUGGGGAAUUUUGGACAAUGGGCGCAAGCCUGAUCCAGCAAUGCCGCGUGCAGGAUGAAGGCCUUCGGGUUGUAAACUGCUUUUGUACGGAGCGAAAAGGCUCUCUCUAAUACAGGGGGCUCAUGACGGUACCGUAAGAAUAAGCACCGGCUAACUACGAGCCAGCCGCCGCAGUAACAC
rnacentral:rRNA from 1 species